AAUGAACGCUGGCGGCGUGCCUAACACAUGCAAGUCGGAUGUGCCCGCAAGGGUGCAUGGCAGACGGGUGAGUAACGCGUGGGGAACCUACCUCUUUGUGGGGAAUAACGUUCCGAAAGGAAUGGUAAUACCGCAUGAGACCUUCGGCUGGGAGUGCUGGAGGUGAAACCUGGGGACCGGUAAGGCCUGGGGCAAGGAGAGGGUCCUGCGUCUGAUUAGCUAGUUGGCGGGGUAAUGGCCCACCAAGGCGACGAUCAGUAGCCGGCCUGAGAGGGUGAUCGGCCACACUGGAACUGAGACACGGUCCAGACUCCUACGGGAGGCAGCAGUGGGGAAUUUUGCGCAAUGGACGAAAGUCUGACGCAGCAACGCCGCGUGGGUGAUGAAGGUCUUCGGAUUGUAAAACCCUGUCGUCAGGGACGAAGGUUGGGGCUUUAAUAGAGUUUCAACUUGACGGUACCUGGAGAGGAAGCCCCGGCUAACUCUGUG
rnacentral:rRNA from 1 species